GAUGAACGCUGGCGGCGUGCCUAAUACAUGCAAGUCGAGCGGACAGACGAGGAGCUUGCUCCUCUGACGUUAGCGGCGGACGGGUGAGUAACACGUGGAUAACCUACCUAUAAGACUGGGAUAACUUCGGGAAACCGGAGCUAAUACCGGAUAAUAUAUUGAACCGCAUGGUUCAAUAGUGAAAGACGGUUUUGCUGUCACUUAUAGAUGGAUCCGCGCCGCAUUAGCUAGUUGGUAAGGUAACGGCUUACCAAGGCAACGAUGCGUAGCCGACCUGAGAGGGUGAUCGGCCACACUGGAACUGAGACACGGUCCAGACUCCUACGGGAGGCAGCAGUAGGGAAUCUUCCGCAAAGGGCGAAAGCCUGACGGAGCAACGCCGCGUGAGUGAUGAAGGUCUUCGGAUCGUAAAACUCUGUUAUUAGGGAAGAACGAAUGUGUAAGUAACUAUGCACGUCUUGACGGUACCUAAUCAGAAAGCCACGGCUAACUACGUG
rnacentral:rRNA from 1 species